GGUGGCUUCAUCUACAAGAAAGGUCUCAGGCUCCUCCUGCUUCCUCUUCUGCUGCUGUCUCGGCCUUGUCCUCCACCUCUGGAGUGACAGUGCACCUGCCACCCAGCAAACAGAGGAUGUGGCAGCAACGCCACCACGUCCUCCACGGUCCCCAAGCAUCUCCACACUGUCCCAUGGAAGUGUUCAGCUGUCCAUCUCCCAAACACUGGAGAGAAAGAGGAAGUACCCCCCUACCCACCUGCGAUCCCUGGCCUUGAGUGCCAGCAUUUCAAAAUUUGUGGCCUUUAAAAUGCUGUCAUUCCGUCUGGUGGAGAUGGACAGUUUUAAUAACCUGAUGGCAGUCAC